rnacentral:rRNA from 1 species
ACGCUCGACACCUACGGGAGGUAGCAGUGGGGAAUAUUGCACAAUGGGGGAAACCCUGAUGCAGCGACGCCGCGUGAGCGAAGAAGUAUUUCGGUAUGUAAAGCUCUAUCAGCAGGGAAGAAACUGACGGUACCUGACUAAGAAGCACCGGCUAAAUACGUGCCAGNCGCGAGUAUGNGCGGCGNGNGAGAG